UUUGUACUCCCACCGUCCCAAAAUUAUCGUCUUAAAUUUGUCUAAAUACGGAUGUAUCUACUUACAUUUUAGUGUUAGAUACAUCUGUAUCUAAACAAAUGUAAGACAAGAAUUUUGGGACGGAGGGAAUACUAC
rfam:Triticum aestivum genome assembly, contig: Triticum_aestivum_CS42_TGACv1_scaffold_034847_1BL